UGGAUUAGUGGCCGUUUCAUA
rnacentral:piRNA from 1 species